UGGGGAAUAUUGGACAAUGGACCGAGAGUCUGAUCCAGCAAUUCUGUGUGCACGAUGAAGUUUUUCGGAAUGUAAAGUGCUUUCAGUUGGGAAGAAAAAAAUGACGGUACCAACAGAAGAAGUGACGGCUAAAUACGUGCCAGCAGCCGCGGUAAUACGUAUGUCACGAGCGUUAUCCGGAUUUAUUGGGCGUAAAGCGCGUCUAGGUGGUUAUGUAAGUCUGAUGUGAAAAUGCAGGGCUCAACUCUGUAUUGCGUUGGAAACUGUAUAACUAGAGUACUGGAGAGGUAAGCGGAACUACAAGUGUAGAGGUGAAAUUCGUAGAUAUUUGUAGGAAUGCCGAUGGGGAAGCCAGCUUACUGGACAGAUACUGACGCUAAAGCGCGAAAGCGUGGGUAGCAAACAGG
rnacentral:rRNA from 2 species